GACGAACGCUGGCGGCGUGCCUAAUACAUGCAAGUCGAACGCUGAAGGAGGAGCUUGCUCUUCUGGAUGAGUUGCGAACGGGUGAGUAACGCGUAGGUAACCUGCCUGGUAGCGGGGGAUAACUAUUGGAAACGAUAGCUAAUACCGCAUAAGAGUAGAUGUUGCAUGACAUUUACUUAAAAGGUGCAAUUGCAUCACUACCAGAUGGACCUGCGUUGUAUUAGCUAGUUGGUGGGGUAACGGCUUACCAAGGCGACGAUACAUAGCCGACCUGAGAGGGUGAUCGGCCACACUGGGACUGAGACACGGCCCAGACUCCUACGGGAGGCAGCAGUAGGGAAUCUUCGGCAAUGGACGGAAGUCUGACCGAGCAACGCCGCGUGAGUGAAGAAGGUUUUCGGAUCGUAAAGCUCUGUUGUAAGAGAAGAACGAGUGUGAGAGUGGAAAGUUCACACUGUGACGGUAUCUGACCAGAAAGGGACGGCUAACUACGUG
rnacentral:rRNA from 1 species